AGACGAGGGAUCCUAGCGUUGUUCGGAAUUAUUGGGCGUAAAGCGGGUGUAGGCGGACUUAUAAGUCAGGUGUGAAAUCCCAGGGCUCAACCCUGGAAGUGCACUUGAUACUGCAAGUCUUGAGUGUGGUAGAGGCUAUUAGAAUUCUUGGUGUAGUGGUGAAAUACGUAGAUAUCAAGAGGAAUACCGGAGGCGAAGGCGGAUAGCUGGGCCAACACUGACGCUGAGACCCGAAAGCGUGGGGAUCAAACAGGAUUAGAUACCCUGGUAGUCCACGCUGUAAACGAUGGAUACUUGUUGUUAGAGGUAUUGACCCCUCUAGUGACGCAGCUAACGCGUUAAGUAUCCCGCCUGGGGAGUACGGUCGCAAGAUUAAA
rnacentral:rRNA from 1 species